rnacentral:rRNA from 1 species
CUGGAGGACAGGUGCUGCAUGGCUGUCGUCAGCUCGUGUCGUGAGAUGUGGGUUAAGUCCGCAACGAGCGCAACCCUUGCCUUUAGUUGCCAGCAGUUCGGCUGGGCACUCUAAAGGGACUGCCGGUGUUAACCGGAGGAAGGUGGGGAUGACGUCAAGUCCUCAUGGCCUUUAUGACCAGGGCUACACACGUACUACAAUGGCCGAUACAAAGGGCAGCGACACUGCGAGGUGAAGCCAAUCCCGUAAAAUCGGUCUCAGUCCGGAUUGGAGUCUGCAACUCGACUCCAUGAAGUUGGAAUCGCUAGUAAUCGUGAAUCAGAAUGUCACGGUGAAUACGUUCCCGGGCCUU